rnacentral:rRNA from 1 species
UACGUAGGGGGCUAGCGUUGUCCGGAAUCAUUGGGCGUAAAGGGCGCGUAGGCGGUCAGCACAAGUCAGUUGUGAAAUCUCCGGGCUUAACUCGGAAAGGUCAACUGAUACUGUGCGACUAGAGUGCAGAAGGGGCAACUGGAAUUCUCGGUGUAGCGGUGAAAUGCGUAGAUAUCGAGAGGAACACCUGCGGCGAAGGCGGGUUGCUGGGCUGACACUGACGCUGAUGCGCGAAAGCCAGGGGGGCGAACGGG